rnacentral:tRNA from 1 species
GGUUAUGGCUCAGUGGUAGAGCACUUGCCUAGCAUAUAUGAGGCCUUGGGUUUAAUCCUCAGCACCA